rnacentral:rRNA from 1 species
AAUGCGUAGAUAUCAGGAGGAACACCGCCGGUGUAGACGGCUUUCUGGACCGUAACUGACGCUGAAACACGAAAGCGUGGGUAGCAAACAGGAUUAGAUACCCUGGUAGUCCACGCCCUAAACGAUGCAUAUUUGGUGUGGGUCAUUCAGUCGAUCCGUGCCGGAGCUAACGCGUUAAAUAUGCCGCCUGGGGAGUACAGUCGCAAGGCUGAAACUCAAAGGAAUUGACGGGGGCCCGCCCACGCGGUGGAGCAUGUGGUUCAAUUUGACGCAACGCGAAGAACCUUACCUGGGCUCGAACGGCUGGUCAACGGUGGUGGAAACAUUACUACCCCGCAAGGGGGUCCAGUCGAGGUGCUGCAUGGCUGUCGUCAGCUCGUGUCGUGAGAUGUUGGGUUAAGUCCCGCAACGAGCGCAACCCUUGUCCUGUGUUGCCAUGCCGAAAGGCGGAACUCGCAGGAGACCGCCAGCGAUAAGCUGGAGGAAGGUGGGGAUGACGUCAAGUCCUCGUGGCCUUUAUGUCCAGGGCUACACACGUGCUACAAUGGCCGGUACAAUGCGCCGCUAAGUCGCAAGACGGAGCCAAUCGCAAAAAACCGGUCUCAGUUCGGAUUGCAGGCUGCAACUCGCCUGCAUGAAGCUGGAAUCGCUAGUAAUGGCAGAUCAGCACGCUGCCGUGAAUACGUUCCCGGGCCUUGUACACACCGCCCGUCACAUCACGAAAGUGGAUUGUACUAGAAGUCUGCAGGCUGACCCGCAAGGGAGGCAGCGGCCCAAG